AACGAACGCUGGCGGCAUGCCUAACACAUGCAAGUCGAACGAGACCUUCGGGUCUAGUGGCGCACGGGUGCGUAACGCGUGGGAAUCUGCCCUUGGGUCUGGAAUAACAGUUAGAAAUGACUGCUAAUACCGGAUGACGACUUCGGUCCAAAGAUUUAUCGCCCAGGGAUGAGCCCGCGUAGGAUUAGCUUGUUGGUGAGGUAAAAGCUCACCAAGGCGACGAUCCUUAGCUGGUCUGAGAGGAUGAUCAGCCACACUGGGACUGAGACACGGCCCAGACUCCUACGGGAGGCAGCAGUGGGGAAUAUUGGACAAUGGGCGAAAGCCUGAUCCAGCAAUGCCGCGUGAGUGAUGAAGGCCUUAGGGUUGUAAAGCUCUUUUACCCGGGAUGAUAAUGACAGUACCGGGAGAAUAAGCCCCGGCUAACUCCGUGCCAGCCGCCGCGGUAAUAC
rnacentral:rRNA from 1 species